AUGCAGCAAGCCUUUGCUGUACAGAUUGAGGAGGCUGUACAGACGGAGAGACAGACGACGGCAGAGAAAAUGUUGUUCCUGGAAACCAAGUACAGUGAAUUGAUUGAUCAGCUACGUAACAUACAGCCUAUCUUGUCCGAGUUUAUAGAAUCUUAUAUACUCCUGCAGAAAGAGGUUACACAGUUUCCUAAAAUUAUACGUAAAACUGUCAACAGUGUGAAGAAAGAGGUGGCAGGUGCUAUAACAGGUGUUAGUGAGUACAACAAGGAACUGGUACAGAAAUAUCAGAAGGAGAUGAGACUGAGGAAAAAAUAUCAUAAUGAACUUGUUGAACUUAAAGGUAAUAUACGGGUAUUUUGUCGUGUACGACCUCUCAUUAAAGAAGAUGGUAACGGUCAGCAGGCUGAGAACAUUGUUAGUCUAGAUAAUGAUGAUGACGGUGUACUAUAUAUCAACAGUAAAGGUAGAACACAGACCUUUGACGUAGAUAAAGUGUUUGGUGAAAAAAGUACACAAAACCAGGUAUUUGAGGAAGUGAAGGCAUUGGUAACAUCAUGUAUAGAUGGUUAUAAUGUAUGUAUAUUUGCCUAUGGUCAGACUGGAAGUGGUAAAACUUAUACCAUGGAGGGUACUGAGAGUAAUCCAGGCAUAAACCAGAGAGCUCUAGCAGAACUGUUUGAGGAGACAGCGGCCAGGGUAGACUGGGAGUUCAGCAUUACUGUUAGUGUGAUAGAAAUAUACAACGAAAUGAUCAGAGACCUUCUAGGUGAUGAUACAUCAUUUAAGAUGGAGGUGAAGAUGAACCCGGACGGUGGCUAUCAUAUACCUGGACUGUGUUAUGUUACUGUACAGUCAGUAGCAGAUGUAAAUGAGUGUUUCAGAAUAGGAACACAGAACCGUGCCACGGCAGCCACGAACAUGAAUGAACAUUCUUCACGAUCUCACGCUCUCCUAUGUGUAACUGUGAUAGGCUUCAAUAAAACCACUGCUGCUAAAACCACAGGCAAGCUCAAUCUUGUUGAUCUGGCUGGCUCAGAGAGAGUAAGCAAGUCUAAGGCUGAUGGUGCUAGACUGAAAGAAGCCCAGUGUAUAAACAAGUCACUGUCAUCACUAGGGGACGUAAUCUUUGCUUUAAGGUCAAAGCAGAGUUACAUCCCUUACAGAAACUCCAAGUUGACCUACUUAUUGCAAGAUUCAUUAGGUGGUGAUAGUAAAACUCUCAUGAUCACGCAGAUUGCCCCAGUUAGGAAAAAUGAAGGGGAGACAAUCUGUUCCCUCAAUUUUGCACAGCGUGUUAGGAAUGUAGAACUUGGUGCAGCCACUAGAAAGUUGGAGAAUGGGGAUGGGACAGAGGCGUUUCAGACACCACGUCGUGGAGUACGAACCUAAAUCAUCAACAUCAUCAUCACCUUAUCAUCAUUCAUCAUCAGAGGUGUGCAUUGAAGUUAAGAAUGAUCCUUCUUCACCAGCUAGAACAUAUUCCACACCACAGAGAAUGAACAUGGUUAACAAAUCAAGUACACCUACAUCUUCAUUGGCGCUGAAAUCAAGCACACCUUCAAAUAUUGCAAAUAAAGCCAGUACACCUUCUUCCAGCUCGAAACUCACACCAGUACGACAUGCAAGAAAGAAAUAAUAAUUA